rnacentral:rRNA from 1 species
GUCUAUGGCCAUACCACCCUGAACGUGCCCAAUCUCAUCUUAUCUCUAGAAGCUAAGCAGGUUCAGGCCUGGUUAGUACUUGGAUGGGAGACUGCCUGGGAAUAACGGGUGCUGUUGGCU